CACACACACACACACACACACAUAAAAAAGGUCUGUACUUUUACUCAAGCAGUAUGAAGUGCAAUUUGGCAACUCCACAUUGUUAUGAAAGUGCCGAUGGCACUCAAGUCGUACUCAUUGACUCGCACGGUGUAAACAAAAAGAUUGAUACGUGACAAUAAAAGUUGUCCGUGAUGGUGUAGUGGUUCCCUCCCGUUGUGCUUCUCUUUCAUGCAGUUAAAGCUUCUUUCGCACAUUCUCUAAAAGUGGCACUUUCACUUCCAGAGAGAGUCCAUCAUCGGUCUCAGCGUGAUCAAGACCAAGCGAGGGGGAAAAAAAAAAAGCUCCUUGUCGCCACGACAACCACUUAUCAAGUCGGAGGCAGAAAGCUCGGACGUGCGGCGUCCGCUCGGCUGCGUUGCCAGGACGACGGAGGUGAUGGAGUGAAAGGAGAGCGGCAAUGCGGGUCUUGAGGACGGCUGCUGGUCAUUGCGGUGUUCAGUGCCUACCAAUGAAUGAGGCCUGGCUGGAGAAAAGAGAGAAAAACAUUGGUGGACGUAUCACAGAGUCAAAGGUGGAAAGCUUUUAGUGUCUAUGCGGCGGCACUCAGGGAAAAUACGACCCGGUCAUUUACAUUAUAUUAAGACUAAAAGAAAAGUGGAAUCCUGAAAUACUGAAACCCAUAAUUACAUUUUCAGCCUUUUCAUGUCAUGUCUAUUCAAAUGGUUCUGUGCCUUUUCUUCUCUUUCAGGCUAUUCACUUGGUGCUUUUUUUCUGGCUUGUAGCAACACUUCUCUCCGGUUAACACGAUUAUUACUAUCAUCAUAUGAAGCAUAUUGCAUUUUAUGAAACAUAAGAUAACCACGGUCUUCUGUUCCAAAUUUCAAAUUUGGCAUUUAGCAGAUAACCUCAGCAAAAAUCAUGCAGUGAUCUAUCCAUACCAUCUAUACUGGCUUCAGUAACUUCAAAUAAUCAUUUUUAUCUGCGCUUUUAUAAUUAAUGACGUACUUCACUAACAAAACUGAUCUAUUGUCGUCAUUUGAUUGGUCUCGAUCUUAACGUCGCCGAUGCUCCCUGUGGGUGUCUCAUCCAAUCGGAUUUCAGCCGGUCUGGCGUCAUCAAGAUGUGCCUUCGAAGACGUUAAGAACAUUUAUUUGCACAACAACAACAACAAAAAACAUCAUACUUUCAAAAUACAAUUUAAUGAAGAGGAACUAUUCGAUCAACCUUGAGAUUAACUAAAAAUAAAUUUUUAAAAUACCAUCAAAAAUGGAGUGACGUCUCAUUAAACCAAUCAAAAGUUGACUUUCAAAGCUUUUCUCUGAUUGGCUGACCCUGACCAGUGUGUUUGUCAUUAGCACCUGCUGUUAAUAUCAGUGCUUGUCUUGAAUUGCUAGCUUGUUUCUUUCGAGUUCUCAGGUAAAUUAGCGUGGGGAAAAGGGAAUUAUUGUCGAAAAUUAAACAAAUAAAACUCUACUACAGCUUUAUUGAACCAAGCAGUGGAAGGUUGCUGUGUUUUUCUUCUUCAAUUAACUAUCAUUUUGGCUAAGACAGUGGAAGCACAAGUACUCGUGGAGAACAACAAGGAGAAAAAAAAAAAGUCUUCAACGACUUUGAGGAGUCCCGUAAACGCCGCUGAUGGCCUCCAGGACAAAUGGUCACAAGCUCUGCGGAGCCAGCGUGGAACAAUUGGCCACCUGGGAAAAUUAGGAGGAGGCGAGGACGCGACGAGGAUGAGUAGGCGGAGGAGGAAGAGCUAAGCGGAGCUGAGGUGAGGACGGACUAAUUGGGCAGAGAAGAAUCCGUAUCAAGGUGAACGACAACGCAUACUUGUUAGCACAGCGCUACCUUGACCUGAUUUUCAUUUUUUUUCUUCGUGACAAAGUGGGGAAAAAAAGAACAUGUUCCCAGAACAGUGACUCCUAUGCUAAUAUCUUUUGCCUUU